CCUACGGGAGGCAGCAGUGGGGAAUAUUGGACAAUGGGCGAAAGCCUGAUCCAGCCAUGCCGCGUGUGUGAAGAAGGCCUUCGGGUUGUAAAGCACUUUCAGUGGGGAAGAAAGCCUUGGGGCUAAUACCCUCGAGGAAGGACAUCACCCACAGAAGAAGCACCGGCUAACUCCGUGCCAGCAGCCGCGGUAAUACGGAGGGUGCGAGCGUUAAUCGGAAUUACUGGGCGUAAAGCGCGCGUAGGCGGUCUGAUAAGCCGGUUGUGAGAGCCCCGGGCUCAACCUGGGAACGGCAUCCGGAACUGUCAGGCUAGAGUGCAGGAGAGGAAGGUAGAAUUCCCGGUGUAGCGGUGAAAUGCGUAGAGAUCGGGAGGAAUACCAGUGGCGAAGGCGGCCUUCUGGACUGACACUGACGCUGAGGUGCGAAAGCGUGGGUAGCAAACAGGAUUAGAUACCCGGGUAGUC
rnacentral:rRNA from 1 species